rnacentral:tRNA from 1 species
GACCGUUUGAACGCGUUAGCUCAGUUGGUAGAGCAUCUGACUUUUAAUCAGAGGGUCACUGGUUCGAGCCCAGUACGGGUCA